rnacentral:lncRNA from 1 species
GCACUCCAUCCAGCCUGGGCAACAAGAGCGAAACUCCAUCUCAAAAAAAAAAAAAAAAAAAAAAGAAUAUGUAGUAAUGGUUAAGAGUCCACUGUGGAAUCAGCCUGCAUAGGUCCAAAUCCCAGCCCUGACUGAAUACCUGUGAACAAGUUAUAUCAGUGACUCAGGCUUAUUAUCUGUAAAAUGGGGAUUAUAGCAUUCCUGCCUCAUAGGGAUGUUAUGAGAUUUAAAUACCAAUAAGUCUGUACAUUAUAAACCUUAUCAGAUUGGUGUGGUGAAAAUGCUCAGUAACUGAGCCUCGUGAGCAUUAGAAUGUUGAGAUCAGCAUGAAGUUAGCCUGUAUACUGGGCAUACACAUUCUUCUGGAUUUGCUCCUUUUGUGAGCAAUCAAUGAUGAGCUAAAGGCAUUUGCUAACUAGUAGGAAUGAAAUAAGGUUUCAGACAGGAUCUUGGUGGGUGAUGUAGAUUUUAUCUGUCCCAUUUGUCCCAUUUCUCAACUGGAAGUGAGUCUGGCCUUGGUCUGCAUCUGUGCUCUCCCCUUCACAAAAGGCAGGCCCAGAGAGACUCCAGAGAUGGCCCCUGUCUCCUGUGUGUCCUCCGCCGCUGUGUCCACUUGGGCACGUCAAAGGAGGCCUUGAUGUGCAGACGCGAUGGGGCAACGAUGAGACCGAAUAAACAAUUGACAUCUAACCCCAGAAGAAGAGCAAGGACCUGGGACCCAGAAGGAAGAGGCUGUGAGAGGUACAAACUGCAGGCAUGGACAUGAUGCAUAUAGAGGACAGCCACACUAAGCUUUGAGGCUUCUGGAGGCAACACAGAGUAACCAUUUGAAUGGAAAUCACUGAACAGACACAGAGAAAGAGAAACCAUCCAAUGACUUGAGGGUGACACCAAGUUUGCCUGGUGGCCUCAGGACUCCUGGCUCACUGGUCCCACUGUCUCCCCCCGCCCAUCAGAAUACAUGAAGGCUGGUGGGGCACGGUGGCCCAUGUCUGUAAUCCCAACACUUUGGGAGGCCAAGGCGGGCAGAUCACCUGAGUUCGAGACCAGCCUGGCCAACAUGGUGAAACCUCGGCUCUACUAAAAAUACAAAAUUAGCUGAGUGUGGUGGCACAUGCCUGUAAUCCCAGCUACUCGGGAGGCUGAGGCAGGAGAAUCACUUGAACCCAGGAGGCUGAGGUUGCAGUGAGCUGGGAUCAUGCCACUGCACUCCAGCCUGGCGACAGAGUGAGACUCCAUCUCCAAAAAAAAAAAAAAAAAAAAUACGUGAAGGCUUUCCUACCACACCAUGCAUGUGGGACACGUCAGAGUGGGAAGCUCCAUGGAUCUACAGCAAGGCUGUUCGACUAAGAGUGAAUAAAUGGGUGAAUUCCAUGGGCUGAACAUGUCAGGAAUAUUUUCUUCUUAGGGCAGCGAUCUUAACUUCUGGAGAAAUUGAGUUCCUAAGCUGUAGAGCCUUAGAACCCUGGCAUACAUUUCUGUGGAGAAACAGAAAGCCCAGACAUCCCAGUCCACACACGUCUUUCUUCUGACCAACACCAGCCAUAGGAAGCAAGGCCCGGGAGAGCACUGGGGACAGGGCAUGUCCGCCCGGAGCAGGGCAGGAGAGCACAGGCAUGUGAUGCAGCCCUGGGUCUGUCGUCCCGUUUGCGCCGGGAAUGAAUCGGGUUUUUCUAGCCUCUAAGCACAGAGGUAUUUUUGACUCAGCACCGUGAAGAGACGACAAUAGCUCAGCUUCUGCCAGCUGCCCGAUUUAGACACGAGACCUUCACUACAUAUUUCUGUCUCUUGCCCUACUCAGAAGAAGGACUUAAAAAUCCCCCAAGACGGAACUGAGUUUUCCUCUGUUCAUUUUUUUAAAUUACACUACUUGAAGAACCCCAAACAAAUAAGGCUCUGGGCCUCCAAGACCAUGUAAUCCAUUGUGCUCGUGUGGAAGAGCUGCCCCCAGUAGAGGCAACAGGAAUGGCCUGGUCACUCAGCAGGUCCCCUGCCCAUCUUCCCACCACCCCUUGCCCCACCCACCGGGAAGGAGGAGGGAGCACAGGCUGCUUUGAGCAGUCAUCGUGCCUCUACCUGGAGCCUGUACUCACUGUCUUGGGGGCCGGUAUUUCCCAGGAGGGCUAUUGUGUGUUUCCUUGUCUGUUUCUCUUUCUGGAAUGCGAGCUGUUUCAAAAUGAACUGAAGAUCAUUCACCUCCACCCCUCAGCUCUCAGCAUAGAGGUGUGCACAGAGUACAUGCUCAGUAAAUGUUUAACAGAUA